CUCACCAGCUUGUAAAUAUUUUUUGGCAUAUCGGUCUGCGUGUCAUGAGAUUUAGAACCUUCAUCACCCUAACGUUUUCCAUCCCACAGAGAACUCUGGUCUGAAUAUGGUGUGUGCUCGAGGAAGUUUGCCAGUAGUGUGAUGUUAAGGCACUUGUGAAAUGCCUCACUUAACCACAGCACUCUGCAUUUUCCAAACCACAUACCUAUCUCUUACAAGGUCUUUCGGGUAGAAUUAUAGGCGGACUGUGGGUCGUGAGAUCCUGGCCUUGGUGUGUUUUUACUCCCUUCUUCUCAUGAAUUAACUCCUGAACUAUUGACUUUCUGUUGAAUGGAUAGCAGAGUUCAGGCGCAUUUUACAUGCAAGAUUUUACAUCCUGUAUCUCAACAACUGCAAACCCCAAGGACGAGUAAACUUCAGUCUCAGCCAUAAAAUUGAUGUGUUGCAACAUGAACAAAUUGGGUUUAGUAACUUACAAGUGAGAUACCAUCAAGCCUGUAAUGAGCCAGAACUGAGAGUUAUCCUUUCCCUGUCCUCGUCGAUGUGGCUGGAAGAGCUGGAAGUAGAUCACUCGCUUGAAAGUGCUCAGCUUCUGCCUUGUAUCUUCUUCACCGAGAGCAAAAUUCAUCUGUGGUCCUGUCAGAUCUCAGCCCUUUGGGCCCCCCUGAAAGGAAAAGAUUGCCUUAAGAACUGCAAGGUCUGCAAGGAUAGCGUAAACUGCUAAGUUCUCUUUUUGCUUUCUCAAUUCUGAGUCUGCAGAUUACCCCCGCUGGGUUGGAGAGCUCUCCUUCACAACCAGAAAGGCAAAGAAGUCAUCGAUAAAACAUAAAAAUAAAAUUCUGGAGAACCUGGGAAGUGCAAUGGAAGGGUAGAAAUCACCUAAAUUGCCAGCUCCGCGUUAACAGCUCACCAGUCACACUCUGCUGCUGUAGCCUGGUGCCAACGAGCAUGGAACUCCUAAGGAUGUGGACCAUGCCCUUGAGUCAUCCAGAUGCUGCCCCAGCCUGGUGGCAUGUCUUGGUCAUCCCAUGGCUCCAUGGAGGUUGGCUGGGCAGAACAUGGCUGCUGUGUGUCAGAAGAUGCCCGUUUUAUCAAGCUCUUCUAAUCAACCAAUCUGUAUACUUAUGUUUUCUUCUGCUCAUCUGAGA
ensembl:lncRNA